rnacentral:rRNA from 1 species
AUUGAACGCUGGCGGCAGGCUUAACACAUGCAAGUCGAGCGGGGUGAUGGUGCUCGCACUAUCACUUAGCGGCGGACGGGUGAGUAAUGCUUAGGAAUCUGCCUAUUAGUGGGGGACAACAUCUCGAAAGGGAUGCUAAUACCGCAUACGUCCUACGGGAGAAAGCAGGGGAUCACUUGUGACCUUGCGCUAAUAGAUGAGCCUAAGUCGGAUUAGCUAGUUGGUGGGGUAAAGGCCUACCAAGGCGACGAUCUGUAGCGGGUCUGAGAGGAUGGUCCGCCACACUGGGACUGAGACACGGCCCAGACUCCUACGGGAGGCAGCAGUGGGGAAUAUUGGACAAUGGGCGGAAGCCUGAUCCAGCAAUACCGCGUGUGUGAAGAAGGCCUUCGGGUUGUAAAGCACUUUUGUUAGGGAGGAUGGUGAUUUAGGCUAAUACCCUAAGUCGCUGACGUUACCUAAAGAAUAAGCACCGGCUAACUCCGUGCCAGCCGCCGCAGUAA